rnacentral:rRNA from 1 species
CCUUUUAGAGUUUUGGGAUCUGGCUCAGGACGAACGCUGGCGGCGUGCCUAAUACAUGCAAGUCGAGCGGACAGAAGGGAGCUUGCUCCCGGAUGUUAGCGGCGGACGGGUGAGUAACACGUGGGUAACCUGCCUGUAAGACUGGGAUAACUCCGGGAAACCGGAGCUAAUACCGGAUAGUUCCUUGAACCGCAUGGUUCAAGGAUGAAAGACGGUUUCGGCUGUCACUUACAGAUGGACCCGCGGCGCAUUAGCUAGUUGGUGAGGUAACGGCUCACCAAGGCGACGAUGCGUAGCCGACCUGAGAGGGUGAUCGGCCACACUGGGACUGAGACACGGCCCAGACUCCUACGGGAGGCAGCAGUAGGGAAUCUUCCGCAAUGGACGAAAGUCUGACGGAGCAACGCCGCGUGAGUGAUGAAGGUUUUCGGAUCGUAAAGCUCUGUUGUUAGGGAAGAACAAGUGCAAGAGUAACUGCUUGCACCUUGACGGUACCUAACCAGAAAGCCACGGCUAACUACGUGCCAGCAGCCGCGGUAAUACGUAGGUGGCAAGCGUUGUCCGGAAUUAUUGGGCGUAAAGGGCUCGCAGGCGGUUUCUUAAGUCUGAUGUGAAAGCCCCCGGCUCAACCGGGGAGGGUCAUUGGAAACUGGGAAACUUGAGGCAGAAGAGGU